GAUGAACGCUGGCGGCGUGCCUAAUACAUGCAAGUCGAGCGAACAGACGAGGAGCUUGCUCCUCUGACGUUAGCGGCGGACGGGUGAGUAACACGUGGAUAACCUACCUAUAAGACUGGGAUAACUUCGGGAAACCGGAGCUAAUACCGGAUAAUAUAUUGAACCGCAUGGUUCAAUAGUGAAAGACGGUUUUGCUGUCACUUAUAGAUGGAUCCGCGCCGCAUUAGCUAGUUGGUAAGGUAACGGCUUACCAAGGCAACGAUGCGUAGCCGACCUGAGAGGGUGAUCGGCCACCCUGGAACUGAGACCCGGUCCAGACUCCUACGGGAGGCAGCAGUAGGGAAUCUUCCGCAAUGGGCGAAAGCCUGACGGAGCAACGCCGCGUGAGGGAUGAAGGUCUUCGGAUCGUAAAACUCUGUUAUUAGGGAAAAACAAAUGUGUAAGUAACUAUGCACGUCUUGACGGUACCUAAUCAGAAAGCCACGGCUAACUACGUG
rnacentral:rRNA from 1 species